AUGCCUUCCACCUUGAUUAGCCUCGCGGUGGCCACCGCCGCGUUAGUUAUUGCCAUCGCAGCAGCGUGGUACCCAAGGAAGUACAGAGGCCUGAGGCUGCCCCCCGGUCCGCCAGGGUGGCCAAUCGUCGGCAACCUCUUCCAGGUGGCCUUCUCCGGGAAGAAGCUCAUCCACUAUCUUCGCGACCUCCAGCAGGAGUACGGGCCCAUCCUAACGCUUCAGAUGGGGGUGCGCACAGUCAUCAUCAUCAGCGGUGCCGAGGUCGCUCACGAGGCGCUCGUCGAGAAGGGCGCGGAGUUCGCGACCCGCCCCGCCGUCGAGAGCAGCGGGCGCAACAUCUUCUCCCACAAGUUGACCGUAAACUCCGCUGUGUACGGCGCCCAAUGGCGGUCGCUGCGGCGGAACAUGGUGUCCGGGAUGCUGAGCACCUUGCGGCUCCAAGAGUCCCGGCCGGCGAGGAUGCGCGCCAUGGACCGGUUCAUGUCGCGGAUACGCGCUGAGGUCUCUGCGUCUCCCGACGGUGGUUCCGUGUGGGUGCUCCGCAACGCGCGCUUCGCUCUGGUAUGCAUCCUGCUCGAGUCGACCUUCGGGCUGCUCGACCUGGACGACCAACUCAUCUUACAGGUCGAGUCUGUAUUGAAGCGCGUCGUGCUCACCCUCGGGAUGCGCAUGGAUGAUUACAUGCCGUGUCUUCGCCCCUUCUUCUGGCGGAAGCAGAGCCACGCGCUCGCGCUCCGCCGGGAGCAGAUCAAUACGCUCCUAGAGCUCAUCAACCGCCGCCGAGCCGUCCUCCGCGACAUGCAGCGCUCGCCACCAGACCCCAAUGUUGCCGCGGCGUUCUCGUACCUUGACUCUCUACUAGAAGUCCGCUUCGGCGGGUGCAACGCCAUGGCCUCAGACGAAGAGCUGGUCACCCUCUGCACCGAGGUGCUCAACGCUGGGGCCGACACCACGGCCACGGCCGUCGAGUGGGCCAUGGCGCGCAUUAUAGACAAUCCGCGCAUCCAGGCUCGGCUCCGCGAGGAGAUCACACACAAAGUCGGCAACACCAGGCCAGUCGAUGACAAGGACAUCGACAACAUGCCCUAUCUCCAGGCCUUCGUAAAGGAGCUCCUCCGGAAGCACCCACCCACAUACUUCUUGGUUACCCACGCCGCUGUUCACCCGGGGAGCAAGCUCGCCGGCUAUGACGUGCCCACGGAUGCCAAUCUGGAUGUCUUCCUCCCAACCAUCUCGGAGGACCCCAAGUUGUGGGACCGGCCAAUGGAGUUCGACCCGGACAGGUUCCUGUCGGGUGGCGAGAAGGCAGACAUCACAGGGUCCGCCGGCGUCCGGAUGAUACCAUUUGGGGCGGGGCGGCGGAUGUGCCCGGGCUCGGCCAUGGGGACGGUGCACAUCGCGCUCAUGGUCGCACGGAUGGUGCAGGAGUUUGAGUGGUGCGCGCACCCUUCGCAGCCCGCGCUCAACUACGAGGAGAUGGUGCAGUUCACUGUCGUCAUGGAGCACCCACUGCUCGCCAUGGUGAAGCCCCGGAAACUCUCUUACUGA
rnacentral:rRNA from 1 species